rnacentral:rRNA from 1 species
CUCAGUUACACGGGACCGUACCGUAAUCGGACACACGUGGGCAGGAUGAAAAUUCUAAGGCGCUUGAGAGAACUCAGGAGAAGGAACUCGGCAAAUUGUCACCGUAACUUCGGAAGAAGGUGUGCCCUGGUAGGUUGUAGCCGUACAGGCGAAGGCCGAAGGGGUUGCAAAAAAUCGGUGGCUGCGACUGUUUAAUAAAAACACAGCACUCUGCAAACACGAUGAGUGGACGUAUAGGGCGUGACGCCUGCCCGGUCCGGAAGGUUAAAUGAUGGGGUGCGAGCUCUUGAUUGAAGCCCCGGUAAACGGCGGCCGUAACGAUAACGGUCCUAAGGUAGCGAAAUUCCUUGUCGGGUAAGUUCCGACCUGCACGAAUGGCGUAACGAUGGCCACACUGUCUCCUCCUGAGACUCAGCGAAGUUGAAAUGUUUGUGAUGACGCAAUCUACCCGCGGCUAGACGGAAAGACCCCGUGCACCUUUACUGUAGCUUUGCAUUGGACUGUGAUGGGAUCUGUGUAGGAUAGGUGGGAGGCUUUGAAGUGGGGGCGCUAGCUCUCAUGGAGCCGACGUUGAAAUACCACCCUGAUGUCAUUGCGGUUCUAACCUUGGCCCCUAUAGCGGGGUUGGGGACAGUGCAUGGUAGGCAGUUUGACUGGGGCGGUCUCCUCCCAAAGAGUAACGGAGGAGCUCGAAGGUACGCUAGGUACGGUCGGACAUCGUGCUGAUAGUGCAAUGGCACAAGCGUGCUUGACUGCGAGACUGACAAGUCGAGCAGGUGCGAAAGCAGGACAUAGUGAUCCGGUGGUUCUGAAUGGAAGGGCCAUCGCUCAACGGAUAAAAGGUACGCCGGGGAUAACAGGCUGAUUCCUCCCAAGAGUUCAUAUCGACGGGGGAGUUUGGCACCUCGAUGUCGGCUCAUCACAUCCUGGGGCUGUAGCCGGUCCCAAGGGUAUGGCUGUUCGCCAUUUAAAGUGGUACGUGAGCUGGGUUUAAAACGUCGUGAGACAGUUUGGUCCCUAUCUGCCGUGGGCGUUGGACGUUUGAGGGGGGCUGCUCCUAGUACGAGAGGACCGGAGUGGACGAAUCUCUGGUGUACCGGUUAUCACGCCAGUGGUAUUGCCGGGUAGCUAAAUUCGGAAGAGAUAAGCGCUGAAAGCAUCUAAGCGCGAAACUUGCCUCAAGAUGAGACGUCCCGUGAUGUAAGUCACCUAAAGGGUCGCGGUAGACCACCGCGUUGAUAGGUCGGGUGUGGAAGCGCAGUAAUGCGUUAAGCUAACCGAUACUAAUUGCCCGUGCGACUUGAUCCU